rnacentral:rRNA from 1 species
UCCGUAGGUGAACCUGCGGAGGGAUCAUUACAAGUUGACCCCGGCCCUCGGGCCGGGAUGUUCACAACCCUUUGUUGUCCGACUCUGUUGCCUCUGGGGCGACCCUGCCUCCGGGCGGGGGCCCCGGGUGGACAUUUCAAACUCUUGCGUAACUUUGCAGUCUGAGUAAAUUUAAUUAAUAAAUUAAAACUUUCAACAACGGAUCUCUUGGUUCUGGCAUCGAUGAAGAACGCAGCGAAAUGCGAUAAGUAAUGUGAAUUGCAGAAUUCAGUGAAUCAUCGAAUCUUUGAACGCACAUUGCGCCCCCUGGUAUUCCGGGGGGCAUGCCUGUUCGAGCGUCAUUUCACCACUCAAGCCUCGCUUGGUAUUGGGCGACGCGGUCCGCCGCGCGCCUCAAAUCGACCGGCUGGGUCUUUCGUCCCCUCAGCGUUGUGGAAACUAUUCGCUAAAGGGUGCCGCGGGAGGCCACGCCGUAAAACAACCCCAUUUCUAAGGUUGACCUCGGAUCAGGUAGGGAUACCCGCUGAACUUAAGCAUAUCAAUAAGCGGAGGA